rnacentral:lncRNA from 1 species
UAUCAUACAAGCAAAUAUUACAUUCAUUCAUUCAAUCAGCAUGCAGAGGCACCUUCUCUGUGCCCAGGUCUGUGCCCUAAAGGGCAACAUGGGUUAUCUAUUCACUGUUAUAAUCCAGUUCAAUGGAGAAGACUGACCUAAACUGGCUCCAUAACUCUCAAGUUCUCUACUCUUUUCAGUAUACAAAAAAGAUCACAUUACUAAUCUCCCAAAAAUCUUCAGUGGCUUCCCAUAUCAGUAGCAUAAAAUCCAGACUGAUUCUUCUGUUUCUUACAGUUCUAUAUGAUCAUGCAUCUGCCUCUUCAGGGUCACCUCUUGCUCCUGUCACCCACUGGCCUUUCUUCAGCCUCUCACAUGGAUUUGCCUUGCGUUUCCCCAUCUUAGAGCUUUACACAUCUUCUGUCUAGAGCCUUCACACACAUAAACAUACACCCAUAGCUAGCUGUUUCUCAUCAUUCUUCAGAUUUCAUUUAAAUAUCGCUUCCUAGAGAGACCUUCCUUGAAACCCACGUGUAAAAUUAAAUCACUUCACAGGCUUUCUCUUUUUAAUUAUUAUUUCCUUCAUUGCAAUGAUGGCAAUUUAUAAUCAUAUCACUUACACAUUUUUACGUAUUUCAUAUAUAUAUAUUUUUGUUUUUUUUCUAAUUUUUAUUGAAAUUAGUUGAUUUACAAUGUUAUGUUAGUUUCAGUAUGCAGUAAAGUGAUUCUGUUUUAUAUAUGUAUAUAAUAUAUAUAUUUACAUUCUCUUGCAUUAUAACUUAUUACAAGAUAUUAACUAUAUUAGUUAACUGUAGUUCCCUGUGCUAGGUCCUUGUUGGUUAUCUAUUUUAUGUUUAGUAGUGUAUAUAUUUUAAUCUCAAUCUCCUUAACUUAUCCCAUACAUAUGCUAAUUUAUCCCAGUUUUAAGUUUCCAGCAAAACUGGGGAGAGGGUGUGGAGAAAGAGAAUUCUCAUACACUCUGGGUGGGAAUGUAAAUUGGUACAACCACUAUAGAAAAUAGUAUGGAGGUACCUCAGAAAAUGAAAUGUAGAACUACCAUAUGACCCAGCAAUCCUACUCUUGGGCAUAUAUCCAAACAAACUUUCCUUGAAAAAGACACAUGCUCCUGUAUGUUCAUUGCAGCACUAUUCACAAUAGCUAAGACAUGGAAACAACCUAAAUGUCCAUCAACUGAUGAAUGGAUUAAGAAUAUGUGGUAUAUAUAUACAAUGGAAUACUACUCAGCCAUAAAAAAGGAACAAAAUAAUGCCAUUUGCAGCAACAUGGAUAGAACUAGAGACUUUCAUACUAAGUGAAAUAAGUCAGAAAAAGAAAGACAAAUACCAUAUGAUAUCACUUAUAUCUGGAAGCUAAUAUAUUGCACAAAUGAAACUUUCCACAGAAAAGAAACUCAUCGACUUGGAGAAUAGACUUGUGGUUACCAAGGGGGGCGGGAAAGAAUUGGGAUGGACUAGGAUGAACAAUGAGCUCCUGCUGUAUAGCAUUGGGAACUACAUCUAGUCACUUAUGAUGGAACAUGAUGGAGGAUAAUGUGAGAAGAAGAAUGUAUAUAUGCGUGUGUGACUGGGUCACUUGGCUGUAUAGUAGAAAAUUAACAGAACACUGUAAACCAGCUAUAAUGGAAAAAAUAAAAACCAUUUGGAAAAAAAGUUCAGAGCAAAAUUGGGAGGAAGGUACAGAGAUUUCCUUUAUGUCCCGUCCCCACACAUGCACAGCCUCCCCCAUGAUCUCCUGUCACCCACGGUGAUACAUUUGUUAUCACUGAUGAACCUGCACUGAUACAUGAUGAUCACCCCAAGUCCAUAGUUUACAUUAGGGUUCACUUUUGGUGUUGUACAUACUUGUACAUUUAUCAUGGUAUGCUUCUCCCACUGGAUUAUAAAUUACAUGAGGACAGGGAAAGAAGUAGUGUAAUACCUGGACCAUAAUAGGUUCAAUAAAUUUUGUUGAUAGAAUGACUGUUGAAUGAAUAAACAGUGAAGAAACAGUUGCAGGAUAGCAUUUACACGAGCACAUAACAAUAUAAUACUAAUCCUAGAUUGCAUUUUCUAGGAAAGGCUUGGUCAGAAUGGAAUAGAAUUUGCAGUAAGAUCUUUUAGUAGAAGUGAAAUAAUGUAGAUUGGUAGGUCAUGUAUUUCCAGGAGAAUUUUCUUCACUGAAUUCAAUGAAAUGAAAAGAAAAGGAAGAUCCUUCAUAACCACCAUCCUGUUCCUUUUGAAUGUAUCAUGUAUGGUGGUAGUCUUGGCUCUGUACAAGGAGCUUCAGAUAGUCAGAGGUUAUUAUAUAUGAGGAGGAAAUGGAAACUUUCCUUCAGUGACUUAAGUGGUAUACCAGUUGACUGGAAACUGUAACUCAAGUCCCUUCUCUCUCAUUCCCACCCCACUCCCACUAUGAACCCUGAGACUAGCAAAUAGUAGACAAUUCACAGACAUUGAUCUAUGGCCUUUCUCACUAUUUCUUCUUCUUUGAACCUAAAAUGACUUCUGGGUAUUUGUAACAGGAUGUGUUCCUAUAUAACCAGGAGGAGGAGAGAUAAGUCUUUUUCUUCGAAAUUGUGCAUAUUUUUAAAAACAGUCAGUUGUAUUCAUUCUAUCAAGGAAAUCACCUGCUUUAAAUCUUGAUGUCUUGGGGGAAUUGAAUACGUUGACUUCAAAACCAAUUCUGAAUUAUACAUUCCUCUCUCUAGCGUGUUGGUAAAAUUUAUAAAAGUAGAAGCAUCUGUGUACUUAAAGUCAUUACAUUUCAUUCAACUAAAAAAUUAUUUUACAGAUCUAACACACAAACUAUACACAGUCAUACAGUAUUUUCUCCACAUACUAACAAAAUUCUGUUUGUCAUCGUUAGAAAUUUUCUAGUUAUCAUAUUUUAAUUCUAAAUCUUAUAAGUAUAUAGGUAACAAUUAUAAUACUUUUUAAAAAAAUCAGUUGAGUUAACUAAGUUUUUUGCCUCACACAAGGUUAAAUUAAGACAGUGAAAAGUUCCUUUGCGUAAUCGCUUCAGGACUUUGCAUUUAGUUAUUUCCAAGGUAGUGUAGCUAACUUCUGCUUUUAAAAGAAUUGUAGACAUAAAUUUAUUAUUUUCCAUUUGAAGAACUUUUUGAUAAAAAUUUAGUUUCUUUACCAUUUAUUUAAAUCUCAUUAUAGGAGUUCCUGUCGUGGCUCAGUGGAAACGAAUCCAACUAGCAUCCAUGAUGAUACAGGUUCUAUUCCUGGCCUUGCUCAGCAGGUUAAGGAGCUGGUGUUGCCAUGAGCUGUGGUGUCGGUUGAAGACACAGCUUGGAUCUGGCCUUGCUGGGGCUGAAGCAUAGGCCAACAGCUACAACUCUGAUUAUAACCCUAGCCUAGGAACCUCCAUAUGCUGCAGGUGUGGCCCUAAAAAGACAAAAAAAAAAAAAAAAAAAAAAAACUCAUUAUAGCAGUGGUCAGAAAUUCCAAUAACAGCUCUUUCUUGGGAUCCCAGUUUUGCAUCCAGAUUUGUAGGGGUUGAUUCACUAUGUUUUAAACUAGUUUCCAUGUAAGGAAUGUGGGGCUCAUUCUCUUCACAAAUAAUAUAUAAGCAUGCCUCCCUGUAUAUAUGGCAUGAUUGAUGGGAAAAGAAAUCACUCAUUAACAAAUAUGUAUUAAGAGUCUCCUGUGCGGGAGUUCCCAUUGUGGCUCAGCAGAAAUGAGCCUGACUAUUAUCCAUGAAGAUGCAGGUCCAAUCCCUGGCCUCAGUCAGUGGGUUUAGGAUCUGGCAUUGCUGUGAGCUAUGGUGUAGGUCACAGAUGCAACUCAGAUCCCAUGUUGCUGUGGUUGUGGUGUAGGACGGCAGCUGUGGUUGUGGUGUAGAACAGACCCCUAGCCUGGGAACUUCCAUAUGCCACAGGUGUGGGCCU